CUAAGAAUAUUCCGCAAUGGACGGAAGUCUGACGGAGCGACGCCGCGUGGAUGACGAAGGCCGAAAGGUUGUAAAGUUCUUUUGCUGGGGAAGAAUAACCGCAGGAGGGAAUGCCUGUGGGAUGACAAGAACCGGCGAAUAGCCCGGCCAACUACGUGCCAGCAGCCGCGGUAACACGUAGGGGGGCGAGCGUUGUUCGGAAUUACUGGGCGUAAAGGGCAUGUAGGCGGCUUGGAAAGCCUGGCGUGAAAGUCUGCAGCUUAACUGCAGGGGUGCGCUGGGAACUGCUGAGCUUGAGUGACGGAGAGGGAGCUGGAAUUCCUGGUGUAGGGGUGAAAUCUGUAGAUAUCAGGAAGAACACCGAUGGCGAAGGCAAGCUCCUGGCCGAUGACUGACGCUGAGGUGCGAAAGUGUGGGGAUCAAACAGGAUUAGAUACCCUGGUAGUCCACACAGUCAACGAUGUGCACUAGGUGCUGGGGCGGUAGCUUCGGUGCCGGAGCGAACGUGGUGAAGUGCACCGCCUGGGGAGUAUGCUCGCAAGGGUGAAACUCAA
rnacentral:rRNA from 1 species